rnacentral:lncRNA from 1 species
CUUCCGUGGGUGCCAGGUUAUGGGCUGGGGGCGGUGCUGACCUUGAGAGAGCGGAGGAGGCGCAGGCGCAGCACAGUUUAAACUUGAUUUUGUGAGGGGACGAACAGCGUGACAAUUAAAGAAGAUCUAGGAAUCGUGAGUGUCUUUGACGAAGAUACAAAGAAAGGGGACAGUUAUGAAAGGGAAGAAAAGAUAGAUGGAGAUGAAAAGAAAUUCAGUAGUUUCAGCAAGGGAAUUAGGAGCAUAAUCUUUGAGAAAAGUCUUGGUUGCUUACCAUUCGG